UUCCGCCGAUCCCACUCCAAGAACUCAGGUGGGAUUUUGGAAUACAAAUCUGGGUGGUUUGAUGCAUUUUCAACACCUAGUAUAUUGUAUGAGACAACAACGACCCUAUCUCUAUAGGCAGAGAAAUCGCCGCCAGAGAAGACCCAUCUACGAUGACNCACUCGCCAAUACUCGAACUUCUGCUCCGGUAACGCUUAUUAUUACGCCUUCGUGAGGAUGAAGCGUGAAUUGGUCUAAACCUAUUCGAUGUUGGAAAAUUCGGAUACCAGCAAUGGGGCUUAACAGUAAGGGUUUCGGUCCUCAACACUAAUCUUUUCCUCUUUCCAUCAGUUUCGUGAUCAUGUCGCUCCAUGCCAUCGAAAUACUUGCGCUUGUUUCG
rnacentral:misc_RNA from 1 species